GUCCCAACCAUCGAAGUAAAACUUGUGGCAUUUGGUGUCGUGAGAUUCCUGAAAAACGGAUGGAAUCUGUUGGAUGUUGCUAUCGUCUUGGCUUCCAUCACCGGCAUACUUUCCAUGGACAUGGAAGUGGCGGAUGAAAACCGUUACUAAGACAGUGUUACAGGUUGGAAACACUUGUCUGCUCUUCCUCUUCUUCUGUUACAUCUGUGCUGCACUGGGAGUGGAGCUCUUUGGCAAACUAGGACACAAUGCGGGAGUGUCACCCGCAUGCCGGUGUGAGCUUUGUGGUCAUAACCCGGCUUGUGCUGAUGAACAAGCCUACUAACAAUUAUCGCCCCCCGAGGAGGAAGGAGGAAGGAGGAGGAUGAGGAGGAGGAG